GCUUACGGCCACACCGCCUGGUUCACGCUUGAUCUCGGAAGCUAAGAAAGGGUGGGCCUGGUUAGUACUUGCAUGGGAGACCGCCUGGGAAUACCAGGUGCUGUAAGCU
rnacentral:rRNA from 1 species